rnacentral:lncRNA from 1 species
GGAAAAAUUGGAUGGGUUCAAGUGGCAUUUCAUCACCACUUGAUCCUCGUAUCUCUAACUUCAUUCUCCAACUGAUUCAACUCAACCUUCAUCAAAGUCUAGGCAACCAAAUUUCUCUCAGGCAUUUUUCCCCGACACCUUAUAAGCUGAGCCCAAAUCACCACCACUCUUCACAAACAUAUCAACAAUCAAUGCACACCUAACACACACAUCAGCCUCAAAACAUCUAGUCUUCACCACAAACCCAUAUAUUUCUCCCUAACUCACAUCAAAGUCUAGGUAAUCAAAUUUCUGUCAGACAUUUGUCUCAAACACCUUAUAAGCUGAGCCAAAAUCACCACCACUCUUCACAAACAUAUCAACAAUCAACGCACACCUAACACACACAUCAGCCUCAAAACAUCUGGUCCUCACCAAAAACCCAUAUAUUUCUCCCUAACUCACAUCAAAGUCUAGGUAAUCAAAUUUCUCCAGCAGUUUUCUCAAACACCUUAUAAGCUGAGCCCAAAUCCCCCCCACUCUUCACAGACAUAUCAACAAUCAAUGCACACCUAACACACAUAUCAGCCUCAAACAUCUAGUCUUCACCAAAAACCCAUAUAUUUCUCCCUAACCGACACAUGAUCCGCAUUUGAACAAACCCAAAUCAUGGCCACAGAGCAAUACUUGUUCAUGUAAACUCCAAUAAAGCAUAUCAAAAAAUGUCAAAAUUGCUUGCAACUCCAUAUUGUCAUUUGCAAAACAUACACUCCAUGUAAUCACAUCUCUCUUUCUCUCCCAUUUCCUUAAAAAUCAACUUAGUCAUUGCUAACUUGCCACAUUUGGAGUAAACCCUAGCCAUUGGCAUCCGACCACCAUUGUCAUCAUUCUCGCUGCAGCUCAGCUCCAUUGGAGAAACGCACGCUACGUUGUUAGAAAUCUUGAACAUCAUGGAUUUGGCAAGCUCUUUCAUAUCAAAGUCCCACUAAAACCCUAAAUUUCAGGUUUGAGAAAGCUCCACGGCUUCGAAUCAGGGAGAUUCCAGCAAAGAUAAAGCAGCAUGGAGAGAAAGAGUGAACUUGAAA